AAAGAACUUGCGCCGCGGGAGAAGACCCAAACAUGUGCGUGUGUUUUCGCUUGUGCGUCAGUGUUUCAGAGUUUAUGUGUUUGUACAGUUUGCUCUUAGAAAACAUGCGCAAGGAUCCAUGACCAUGAAUGUCGGGCCUUUGUGGUAAAUGUAGUUCUGCUAUUUAUGCAAUAUGAGUAAAGAAAAUGUAAUUGGUCUGGAAAGGCUCGCCCACAGAAAGACGCAAGUGGCUCGAAGACCCGCAAGUUGUUUUCCCCAUACUCCCUCGGUUGUGUGUCCCACCCCCUAUUUGGGAAACGAAGUAAUAAGGGAGUCCAUUGCUUCGUAACUAUAGCCAUGAGAAGACGCCUGCUCUGACUUUGCCUUCCACUGUGAAGAAAAGCUUCCUGAGGCCUCCUCAGAAGCAGAUGCUGCCAUGCUUCCUGUACAGCCUGUGGAACUAAUAAAUAGCAAGGACACCAUCAUCUUUGCUGAGGAAAGAUGACUAUUAUUAGUAGUAGGCAAGUGGAGAGUCGUCAGUGUUCCAUCAGCUUUUCCCCUGUGUCUCUCGUCCCACGAAUGAAGAGCAGAUGUGAAAAUUGCUGCCAGCCACUCACUUGUCAGAUGAGAACUGACUUGGCUGUGCUCAUUACAAAAUUAAUUUUUAGGCUCAUUACAAAAUUAAUAAGGCAUGUGAAAUAUAGAUGUCCUCAAGAUUUAUAAACUUUAGAAGUGUCUUUGAUUCUAAUACAAAUCUAUUUUUACUUACAGUAAGAUAGCAAAGAAAAAAGUCUCUGGAAAGAUUCUGGAUAUGUCUAAGGAAAAUUUGAUUAGAUGGGCCAGUGUUUCAGUAACACACACAAGAAGCUUCUGAAUAACUUGUAAAAGUGAGAUGAUGUGCCCCACUUUGAUUUAAAUUCCAUUACAUGUAUCCUCAGGAAUUAGCAAAAAAAAUUUUUUUUUCAUAAUAAAACUCAUUAGAUGAUUUUGACUUAUAAAGAAUAACUUGUUUGAGAAUUAAAUUUGUCUGGACACAAGUAUUGGUUCUGUAAAAUGAAAGGAAAUAUCUAAACUUCUGUGCAACUCUCUGUUAAAGAUAAUCCUAAGGCUACUUCAGAUAUAUUUUUGUUAUUCAGGAUAUGGAAUGAGCAUGAACAUUUGCAUUUUAAUGGUCACAAGAACCAUUAAGGAGAGAAGCUCCCAAAAUAUAAUAAGACAUGACUGGUUUCAACUCUAUGUUGCCUCUGUAUGUUUGGAAUUCCUUGUAAUUCCAUAUGUAUUUGGAUGAUGUUUACCUUUGCUGUAUCUUUGAUGAAAUGAUGUGUUAAACUAACUUCCUGCAGUAAAUAAAGGAGGAAAUUGUAAAGCAA